AGAAGGGAUAGAAGAGAGAUCAGAAGACAGAGGAAGACGUUUGCCUGGGACACUCUCAUGAGGGUUGGGAGUAUUAUCUUUGGAGCGGCUGGGAGGAUUAUCUUCAGAUCGGUUUGGUGGAUUAUCUUCAGAGCGGCUGGGAGGAUUAUCUUCAGAGUGCCUGGAAUAUUUUUGGAGCCUUUUGAGGAUUAUCUUUAGAGCACCUGGGAGGAUUAACUUCAAAGCUUCUGGGAGGAUUAUCUUCAGGUUGGAUGGGAGGAUUUUCUUUGUUGUGAUUGAGCGGAUGAUCUUCAUAUGGAUUGAGUGAAUUAUCCGCAGUGCAGAUGGGAGGAUUAUUUCCAGAGCGGUUGUGUGGAUUAUCUUCAUAGCGGCUGGGAGGAUUAUCUUCAGAGUGGCUGUAGAGUACCUGAAAUGACAGACCAUGUGGAGGGGGU